UCAAACAGGCGGAAGAGUACUAUAUUUACGAAGGCAUGAGAAAACAGCUUCGAUGACGUCACUGUUUAAAGGUCUGCCGUGUUCUUCUGGCGCUAUUCGGUGCCGUUUUAUUUCUGCUUGGUAGACCAACACCGACCAGGACCAACGUAGACGCAUCAGACACGCGAAACCGUCGAGAAAUAGAACGAAAUUACCUUUUGCGUUUUGAGGAAAACUCAAAACUCGGAUACCUCGUUGUUUAACGUCACCCAGAGAUUUUGACACCGUCUCACCAAGGACCUAAAUUUUGCGGAAUUUAGCAUCGCGUUCUUUUUUCUAUUAUCACCGAUCUCGUCGUCGAAUGAGAGAAAUCUUCGACUCGAGAAGAAGAUUAAUAAACACCGAAUUAGCAGCUUCCAGUUUUCGAAAGAUGAUCAAACAGCCGACAGAAUGGUAAAGACUCAGAAAAUCGAGGCGCAGAUCGUGGAUGCUAUACGGAGUCUACAGGCUGUUCAAGGAUCGACUCAACGAGAAAUCAGCAACUAUAUCGCUCAGGAAUAUAAUCUUCCGUUACCCAGUGUUAACAGACAAGUCCAACUCGCUUUGAAACGCGGUGUUAAUUAUGGAAUUCUUCAAAGACUGAAAGGCGGAUGUUUCACAUACAACCAACAACUAUUCAACGGACUUCCGUUCGACAUGAACCCGGAGCUGCCCUGCAAAGGGCGCAGGAAAGGGCGCAAAUCCCGAAGGCGUAAAUCACGGAAGCGACGAAAAUCGAAGAGGAGAAAUUACAGCAUUCGCGAUAUAAAACGAAGAAGCAAAAAAGCCGAUGAUAUUGUGAAAGAGAUCGAUACGUCGGAGUUGAAAACGCUGACCAAACAAACCAACAACAGAAGUAGCAGUCUUUUAAGAAAAGACACCCCUGAGAGCGAGGGUUCAUCCACCACCGGCAAGUCUGAGGAAGCGCACGAAUGAUCUACACUGUAUGCUGAUUCUGUAGACAAAGAUUGAACCGCGGAAAAGGAAACGGAUGCAACUGGUCAAGAAGAUCACAAAAAUUUUAGUGGAAUGUUUCUAUGUCUUUACUAAAUUUGUUUUGACUAUUAUACAUGUGUAUUGUAAAUGUUUUGGAGAAAUGUAGCAUUUUGUGAAUACAUCUUUUAAUACCAAAUUUAUGUACAUUCUUU
rnacentral:misc_RNA from 1 species